GGGUUAGUAACUUAAUAGGCAAAGUCCUUUCUUGUCGAGAAAGUGGAUACCGGAUCGAAGCCGGUCUAACUCG
rnacentral:tRNA from 3 species